rnacentral:tmRNA from 1 species
GGGGGCGACUGGAAUUGACAGCGGGUUGGGGUUCUGUGUGUAAGCAUGUCGGGAGCUGGGGGUACCUCCCGUAAAUAAUACCUUUCAAACAAUAACUGGCGAAAAUACUUACGCCAUGGCUGCUUAAUCCGGAGGAUCUAGCAAAUGCCAUCAUCCCUCCAACCUACGCACUGAUGGUUGGGCUCCGGGGUGUCGCAAAUCAGUGCUGGUUGGCAUAGUGGUACGGAAAGCCAACGAGACCCUAGCACCUAAGGCCAAGACGCGGGUCCGCCGUGAACCUUGUCUGGCUCGAAAAUUCAAUCGCGGAUAAGCAUGUAGAAGGCGCAGGGUUUCCCUGUUCUGGACGAGGGUUCGAAUCCCUCCGUCUCCACUG